rnacentral:rRNA from 1 species
UUCCUACGGGUGGCUGCAGUGGGGAAUAUUGGACAAUGGGCGCAAGCCUGAUCCAGCCAUGCCGCGUGAGUGAUGAAGGCCUUAGGGUUGUAAAGCUCUUUCGACGGGGGCGAUGAUGACGGUACCCGUAGAAGAAGCCCCGGCUAACUUCGUGCCAGCAGCCGCGGUAAUACGAAGGGGGCUAGCGUUGUUCGGAAUUACUGGGCGUAAAGCGCACGCAGGCGGUCUGAUCAGUCAGAAGUGAAAGCCCCGGGCUUAACCUGGGAACUGCUUUUGAUACUGUCAGGCUUGAAUCACGGAGAGGGUAGUGGAAUUCCGAGUGUAGAGGUGAAAUUCGUAGAUAUUCGGAAGAACACCAGUGGCGAAGGCGACUACCUGGCCGUCGAUUGACGCUCAUGUGCGAAAGCGUGGGGAGCAAACAGGAUUAGAUACCCGGGUAGUCC